GACGAACGCUGGCGGCGUGCUUAACACAUGCAAGUCGAACGCUGAAGCUUGGUGCUUGCACUGGGUGGAUGAGUGGCGAACGGGUGAGUAAUACGUGAGUAACCUGCCCUUGACUCUGGGAUAAGCCUGGGAAACUGGGUCUAAUACUGGAUACGACAUGCCACUGCAUGGUGGUGUGUGGAAAGGGUUUUACUGGUUUUGGAUGGGCUCACGGCCUAUCAGCUUGUUGGUGGGGUAAUGGCCUACCAAGGCGACGACGGGUAGCCGGCCUGAGAGGGUGACCGGCCACACUGGGACUGAGAAACGGCCCAGACUCCUACGGGAGGCAGCAGUGGGGAAUAUUGCACAAUGGGCGGAAGCCUGAUGCAGCGACGCCGCGUGAGGGAUGACGGCCUUCGGGUUGUAAACCUCUUUCAGCAAGGAAGAAGCGAGAGUGACGGUACGUGCAGAAGAAGCGCCGGCUAACUACGUG
rnacentral:rRNA from 1 species